rnacentral:rRNA from 1 species
CCUACGGGAGGCAGCAGUGGGGAAUAUUGGGCAAUGGGCGCAAGCCUGACCCAGCAACGCCGCGUGAAGGAAGACGGCUUUCGGGUUGUAAACUUCUUUUCUCAGGGACGAAGCAAGUGGCGGUACCGGAGGAAUAAGCCACUGCUAACUACGUGCCAGCCGCCGCGGUAAUACGUAGGGGGCGAGCGUUAUCCGGAUUUACUGGGUGUAAAGGGGGUGUAGGCGGGACUGGAAGUCAGAUGUGAAACCCACGGGCUCAACCCGUGGCCUGCAGUUGAAACUGGAGUUCUUGAGUACUGGAGGGGCAGACGGAAUUCCUGGUGUAGCGGUGAAAUGCGUAGAUAUUAGGAGGAACACCAGUGGCGAAGGCGGUCUGCUGGACAGCAACUGACGCUGAGGCGCGAAAGCGUGGGGAGCAAACAGGAUUAGAUACCCCUGUAGUC